GACGAACGCUGGCGGCGUGCUUAACACAUGCAAGUCGAGCGGUAAGGCCCUUUCGGGGGCACACGAGCGGCGAACGGGUGAGUAACACGUGGGUGACCUGCCCUCAGCUCUGGGAUAAGCCUGGGAAACUGGGUCUAAUACCGGAUAUGACCUUCCUCCGCAUGGGGGUUGGUGGAAAGUCCAGGAUUGAUUUCUUGGCUCGGCUGGGGAUGGGCCCGCGGCCUAUCAGCUUGUUGGUGGGGNGAUGGCCUACCAAGGCGACGACGGGUAGCCGGCCUGAGAGGGCGACCGGCCACACUGGGACUGAGACACGGCCCAGACUCCUACGGGAGGCAGCAGUGGGGAAUAUUGCGCAAUGGGCGGAAGCCUGACGCAGCGACGCCGCGUGGGGAUGACGGCC
rnacentral:rRNA from 1 species